CCUACGGGAGGCAGCAGUAGGGAAUCUUUCACAAUGGGCGAAAGCCUGAUGGAGCAACGCCGCGUGCAGGAUGAAGGCCUUCGGGUUGUAAACUGUUUUUAUAAGCGAGAAAUAUGAUGGUAACUUAUGAAUAAGGAUCGGCUAACUACGUGCCAGCAGCCGCGGUCAUACGUAGGAUCCGAGCAUUAUCCGGAGUGACUGGGUGUAAAGAGUUGCGUAGGUGGCGUAAUAAGUAGCUAGUGAAAUCUGGUGGCUCAACCAUUCAGACUAUUAGCUAAACUGUUAAGCUCGAGACCGUUAGGGGUAACUGGAAUUUCUAGUGUAGGAGUGAAAUCCGUAGAUAUUAGAAGGAACACCAAUAGCGUAGGCAGGUUGCUGGGACGGUUCUGACACUAAGGCACGAAAGCGUAGGGAGCAAACGGGAUUAGAUACCCCAGUAGUC
rnacentral:rRNA from 1 species